rnacentral:lncRNA from 1 species
UGUUUUCACACAGUUUCAAAUUUUGGGUGCCAGGGUGAGGUGUGUUCAGUGUGUGUUCUUGGUUGAUAAUUUACAAAUCUAUUAAUUAGAUCCUUAGCUUAACAUACAGCUUCUUUAUGAUUUUGCAAAACUGCGAUCAUAUCCACAUACAAAGUAUAUUACUUAACUUAAAAUGCUAUUGGUGGUCUUUGAAGAAUGCAUCUGAGUUUCUUUCUGAACACUUUUACUUAUUUCAAACAUGCUUAUAAUUUGAAAUGAUGUCUAUCUAUCUUCAAGGGCAAUGUUAAAGAUAUAUAGUCCAUGCAAAAUUUUCUACAUUUUAAGGUUAAUGACAAAGCCUUAAGCUACAUUAAAAGUAAAUGCAUUAUAUUUCCAGAGUUGGUAAUAUAUUCAUGAAAAAAAUCUAAUUUAAUGG